rnacentral:rRNA from 1 species
AGGUACAGAGGAUAAGACGGUACAACGUUGCGUGUGUGUUGAUACUACCAGUCAUUACCCCAAUCUUUGCUUCUUCCAGAUUCAGGCUUUGUCGCUCCAUCGAGGACAAAUGCCAGUACAAGUUAUGCCUGAUGACCAUAGCAAGUUGGUCCCACCCCUUCCCAUCCCGAACAGGACCGUGAAACAACUUUGCGCCGAUGAUAGUGCUGCAACCAGUGUGAAAGUAGGUUAUCGUCAGGC